CUCAUGAGCUGAUGGGACCUCUCGUAUCACUGUAGAGAUCUGCUAUACUGACACUUCAGUUUUGGACGGUUUCUGAGGCCCGUUGCCUGUGGAGCCAGACACCAGUGUGGGGCAGAGCGGGCCCACCCCCAAAAGGAUGAAUGAGUCUGGACCAAGCCAUGCAGACCAUGCUGUCCCUUUUGCUCCUUGCAGUGUGAAUUAUUUGGCCUUUUCCCAGUGUCCAGCUCACGUGGCCAGAUCACCAGCUGCCCCAGAGCUCACCACAAUUCGAUGUGACAGCACGUGGCCUCCAACCCCAGAGCCACGCUUGCCUCCCUGCGAGCUGAACUGACUUCACCUGGGUUUGAGGUCUGAGAUCAUACUUUCAGGUAUGUGCUAUUUGCCGGAGGAAUAAAACACCAAUAAAAGUAUAAAAGCUGCCA
rnacentral:lncRNA from 1 species